rnacentral:rRNA from 1 species
UGGGGAAUAUUGGACAAUGGGGGCAACCCUGAUCCAGCCAUGCCGCGUGAAUGAUGAAGGCCUUAGGGUUGUAAAGUUCUUUUGCCAGGGAAGAUAUUGACGGUACCUGGAGAAUAAGCUCCGGCUAACUUCGUGCCAGCAGCCGCGGUAAUACGAAGGGAGCUAGCGUUGUUCGGAAUCACUGGGCGUAAAGCGCGCGUAGGCGGCUUUGCAAGUCAGGGGUGAAAUCCCACAGCUUAACUGUGGAACUGCCUUUGAAACUGCAAGGCUAGAAUGUGAGAAGGGAUGGCGGAAUUCCUAAUGUAGAGGUGAAAUUCGUAGAUAUUAGGAGGAACACCUGUGGCGAAAGCGGCCAUCUGGAUCACAAUUGACGCUGAAGUGCGAAAGCGUGGGUAGCAAACAGG